AGAGUUUGAUCCUGGCUCAGGAUGAACGCUAGCGGCGUGCAUGACCCAUGCAAGUCGAACGGGCGAGGAAUAAGACCGAUGGGUGGAGAGAACGGAAGCACGAAAGUGUGGAAGGGGAGCAAGCCCAGGAGGAAUUGCCCUUGCCAGUGGCGAACGGGUGAGUAACACGUAGGUAAUCUGCCUCGAGGUGGGGAAUAGCUGUUCGAAAGGACAGAUAAUACCGCAUGAGAUCGCGAGAUGAAAGGGCGCAAGCCCGCCUUGAGAUGAGCCUGCGGCCGAUUAGCUAGUUGGUGAGGUAAUGGCCCACCAAGGCGAUGAUCGGUAGCUGGUCUGAGAGGACGAUCAGCCACACUGGAACUGAGACACGGUCCAGACUCCUACGGGAGGCAGCAGUGGGGAAUAUUGGACAAUGGGCGCAAGCCUGAUCCAGCCAUGCCGCGUGGGUGAAGAAGGCCUUCGGGUUGUAAAGCCCUUUUGUCCGGAAAGAAAAGCUUCGGGCUAAUACCCCGGGGUUCUGACGGUACCGGAAGAAUAAGCACCGGCUAACUUCGUGCCAGCAGCCGCGGUAAUACGAAGGGUGCAAGCGUUACUCGGAAUUACUGGGCGUAAAGCGUGCGUAGGUGGUUUGUUAAGUCUGAUGUGAAAGCCCUGGGCUCAACCUGGGAAUUGCAUUGGAUACUGGCAGGCUAGAGUGCGGUAGAGGAUGGCGGAAUUCCCGGUGUAGCAGUGAAAUGCGUAGAGAUCGGGAGGAACAUCUGUGGCGAAGGCGGCCAUCUGGACCAGCACUGACACUGAGGCACGAAAGCGUGGGGAGCAAACAGGAUUAGAUACCCUGGUAGUCCACGCCCUAAACGAUGCGAACUGGAUGUUGGGGGUAGUCCUUCAGUGCCGAAGCUAACGCGUUAAGUACCCCGCCUGGGGAGUACGGUCGCAAGGUUAAAACUUAAAUGAAUUGACGG
rnacentral:rRNA from 1 species